UCUAGGAAAACGUAUCGGAUCAUGUAAAAGAAUAGAACGGACGAUUCCCACGAAAACGCGACACUUUUAACGCUGGAAAUGGUUGCGCUUGUGCAUUCGAAUCCAUUGCGAUAGAGAUUGGUUCGUGGACUUGGAAGAUCGAUCCCACGGAGCCCUACGAAAAACACGAACAAAGUUUUUCUCUAAAGUGAAAACUUAAUUCGUUUAAAAAUGGAAGAAUUCUUUCAAGAAUUUUCAAUCCCACUGUCGAUUUUGUCGAACGGAAGGCACGCGUGUCCUUACGAAUCAUCUUCGUGGUCUGGUUUUGGUUUGUCACUCAAAUUAUGCUGCAUUCGAGUGCACCCACCCACGGGGGAAUCGCGGAACUUCUUGAUCCCUAUUCAGAUUACAUUCAGGCAUCCCUUUAACGCUGGAGAUACGGCCGGGGUACACAGGAAUGAAAGAGCUCGUUAGAACAUAAGCACAGCUGCGUGUGCGCCGCUAAUAUUUGUACUAGUCGCCCGUUCAAAAUGCUGGAAACUAAUUGUUGUAGAAUCGAACGCGCCCCGAAUGAAAAAGAUUGCUUAGAACGUUGAGAGAAUGUUCAAAUUGGACAGAAAGAGCAGAAGAUACCGUACCGACUUGGAGACAAUGUUUAGGCUAGAGGUAAGAGGUCCCAUGACCUCCACGUUCCAUUAUAAAUUGGCGUCCGUAUAACGACACGAUUGUAAUCUGUAUAUAAACAUUGAGCUGUAGACGCUAAUUGGCGAGGAAGCGCGGAAAGACAUAUCCCAAACGAAGAGGACACCGCACUCGGAACACGUGCGACACAGAUCCCUCCUCUGUUCCCUCAGCGGCGUGGAUCGCAAGGUUGCGGACUGAUAAAGACGCAGAAAAAAGGGGUCUAUCGGCGGGACAAAAACGGCCUGAGAAAGGAAGAGAUCAGAUAGAGAACGACGGGAACCCACGGGAAAGAAUGAAGGAACAGAGGAGAGGAGGAAGAGACAAAGAAUUCCUUGGAGGUAUUUGUCUUUUUUUUCCUGGCCGUUCUGGGUCGGACCUCUUCCGAGUUUUUUCUCCAGCCGGCGUAAAGGGUGAUGAUAUGCAUAUGUUCCGAGCGGACGAGGCCCCGGGAGCCGGAGUCAUGCGCGAGAGCUUUCUUCCAGGGGUUUCCCAGUGUAGCGGACAGACGAAUGGAAUUUGUUUUGACGAAUAAAAAGACAUUGAUAAAUCGGGGAAGGUCGAUAGACGUGAGCGCAAAAACGGGAUCCUCGCUGAAAACUGUAGUUUACAGAUGAGACAAAAGGCUGAAUAACUUCUGGAAUUCUCCACAAAUGCACGCGGACUGCACCCAAGACUGGAUUCCAAAAUGAUUUCGUGUUCGGUUAUAUCCAGUAUUUUGGCGGGGGUUGCGCGAUGCCUUUACUUCUCCGUCAUUUAGAAGCUUAAAUAGUUGAUUAGUUAAAUCUUAAGUAGUCUUCGAUUAUGAUAACAAACAUAUUAGCAUACACACAUGUGUAUCUAGCUACAGUCAUUACUUUAGGUUCACUUAAGUAAUUAAUUAGGUUCACUUGUUGAGAGUUAAAAUUGUAUUAAAAUGGAGACUGAGUUGAUUAAUUGAUAAUUGAAUUAGAAUACAAACUAAAUCAAUGAACUGCAUACAUGUGUAUGUUUACCUACAGUGAAUAGCUAAGUGUACA